rnacentral:rRNA from 1 species
GAUGAACGCUGGCGGCGUGCCUAAUACAUGCAAGUCGAGCGAACAGAUGAGGAGCUUGCUCCUCUGACGUUAGCGGCGGACGGGUGAGUAACACGUGGAUAACCUACCUAUAAGUCUGGGAUAACUUCGGGAAACCGGUGCUAAUACCGGAUAAUAUAUUGAACCGCAUGGUUCAAUAGUGAAAGACGGUUUUGCUGUCACUUAUAGAUGGAUCCGCGCCGCAUUAGCUAGUUGGUAAGGUAACGGCUUACCAAGGCAACGAUGCGUAGCCGACCUGAGAGGGUGAUCGGCCACACUGGAACUGAGACACGGUCCAGACUCCUACGGGAGGCAGCAGUAGGGAAUCUUCCGCAAUGGGCGAAAGCCUGACGGAGCAACGCCGCGUGAGUGAUGAAGGUCUUCGGAUCGUAAAACUCUGUUAUUAGGGAAGAACAAAUGUGUAAGUAACUAUGCACGUCUUGACGGUACCUAAUCAGAAAGCCACGGCUAACUACGUG